rnacentral:rRNA from 1 species
CCUACGGGAGGCAGCAGUGGGGGAUAUUGCACAAUGGGGGGAACCCUGAUGCAGCGACGCCGCGUGGGUGAAGAAGCGCCUCGGCGCGUAAAGCCCUGUCAGCAGGGAAGAAAAUGACGGUACCUGAAGAAGAAGCCCCGGCUAACUACGUGCCAGCAGCCGCGGUAAUACGGAGGGGGCAAGCGUUAUCCGGAUGUACUGGGUGUAAAGGUGGCGCAGGCGGCGGUGCAAGCCAGGAGUGAAAGCCCGGGGCUUAACCCCGGGACUGCUCUUGGAACUGCGUGGCUGGAGUGCAGGAGGGGCAGGCAGAAUUCCUGGUGUAGCGGUGAAAUGCGUAGAUAUCAGGAGGAACACCGGUGGCGAAGGCGGCCUGCUGGACUGAAACUGACGUUGAGGCGCGAAAGCGUGGGGAGCAAACAGGAUUAGAUACCCUUGUAGUC